GACGAACGCUGGCGGCGUGCCUAAUACAUGCAAGUAGAACGCUGAAGGAGGAGCUUGCUUCUCUGGAUGAGUUGCGAACGGGUGAGUAACGCGUAGGUAACCUGCCUGGUAGCGGGGGAUAACUAUUGGAAACGAUAGCUAAUACCGCAUAAGAGUAGAUGUUGCAUGACAUUUGCUUAAAAGGUGCAAUUGCAUCACUACCAGAUGGACCUGCGUUGUAUUAGCUAGUUGGUGAGGUAACGGCUCACCAAGGCAACGAUACAUAGCCGACCUGAGAGGGUGAUCGGCCACACUGGGACUGAGACACGGCCCAGACUCCUACGGGAGGCAGCAGUAGGGAAUCUUCGGCAAUGGACGGAAGUCUGACCGAGCAACGCCGCGUGAGUGAAGAAGGUUUUCGGAUCGUAAAGCUCUGUUGUAAGAGAAGAACGAGUGUGAGAGUGGAAAGUUCACACUGUGGCGGUAUCUUACCAGAAAGGGACGGCUAACUACGUG
rnacentral:rRNA from 1 species